CUACAUUAUAUGAAAAUGCUCUGAGAAAGUGGCCGAAAGAAAAGAAACUGAAUUUUUUAGCUCUUUACCCCUGAAGAUGAACCCAAAUAUUUUGUCUCAAGACUCACAACAUGUGAACCUUUUUUUUGACAAAAAUGAUGAGAAUGUGAUUUUACAAAAGACCACAAAUGAGAGUAUGGAAAACAGCUGUCCACAAGUAACUGAAGUAACUGCCACAGAAGAACAUGUUGAUAAAAUGUACCUUAAUAUUUUGAGGAAAAAAAUAACUG
rnacentral:lncRNA from 1 species